GACCUCCCGGGAGCGAAAGACCACCAGGUUGCCUAAGGAGGGGUGAACCGGCCCAGGUUGGAAACGGAGCAGGUCAAUACUCCCAUGCCGAUCAGUAGUGGGAUACCUCCUGUGAAUAGCCAUUGCACUCCAGCCUGGGCAACAUAGCGAGACCCUGUCUCU